rnacentral:lncRNA from 1 species
GGGAGGUGGGUGCAGCACGUGCUCUACAAGCACAGCUCAGAAGGCCCUCUUCAGAAACAUGAGAGCUCACAGCACCAUCAUUAGCUCUUCCAGUUAAAAAAAAAAUCCCAGAAGGAAUAAACUACUGUAUGCAGCAAGAGCAGAGGGGAAAGAUUACCCAGAGGCCAAGCACCUGAUGGGGGCUAGAACUGAACUCACACUCUGCAAUUAUUGCUGCUGGACCCCGACAGAUUCCAGCCCAGCACAGCUCCUGCACGUAGCCUCAGCUGGGGUGCAGAUUUGUCCUAAUUGGAGCUCUGGUCCCUCUCCUGGUGAGUCCCGUAGGUCAGUUUUGCUUCCCUUUAGUCAAUAAGUUGUAAACUAUGCAAGUCUGCAUCUUUUGAGGAAGGAAUGUAGGAGAGAGAGCAGCCAGCUUGGCGCUGCUGCUGCUUCGAGAGUGCUCUGGAGGAGGUGGCUGCUUAGUGCUGCAGGCUGGCUCCUCCCAGCCUGGGUGCUGCAGGGUGGGGGCCUUCUCUCCAUCUCUCAGCUGGGCCUUCAGUCUGAUUUCUUGGCAGGUUUUCUGCUCUUCCACAUCACAACCAUUAUAAAAACACCUAUAAAUAGCAGCAGCAGCAGCCCAGCCACCACAGGGAUGAUAACUGCAUACUCCCUGGGCAAGAAGUAUUGGUGGAUGCUGUGGUCGCUGUCGAUGAAG